rnacentral:rRNA from 1 species
UACGUAGGCAGCGAGCGUUGUUCGGAAUUACUGGGCGUAAAGGGUCCGUAGGCGGUGUGGCAAGUCGGAUGUGAAAUCUCUGGGCUUAACCCAGAGACUGCUCCCGAAACUGCUAUGCUAGAGUGCGAGAGAGGCGAGUGGAAUUGCGGGUGUAGCGGUGAAAUGCGUAGAUAUCCGGAGGAACAUCCGAGGCGAAAGCGGCUCGCUGGAUCGCAACUGACGCUGAGGGACGAAAGCUAGGGGAGCAAACGGG